AAAACAUUGAAAUAUCAUCGUUCCCCGGACCUUACCCCAGCCGCGCUGAAAAGCUUGUUUUAUCCUCUGUCGCACUCUUGGGUGUGGAACUAAACAGCCCGAUGGCUAGUCAAAAAUGCAAAGAAUGCAUACUACAAAUAAUUGACCAGCUCCGACAGCGGAAAGCGCGUCCAGAUAUUGUGCGAAUAUGUCACAUGGCAGCCCGUAAGCAUGGGAUGAAAUGGCAAGAGACGGAGUCGCAUUUGGAAAAAUUAGUAGAAUCGGGCACGGUUGUAAAAGUAGACUAUAAAGGUAACGUAAGCUAUAGAAACACUGCAAAGUGGAAGAAAACGCAUUCCUGGAAAAAAGUAGUUCAUUCUGAUAAAACAUGUAAAAACAUUAUUUCUGCGGUUCAAGAAAUUGCGCAAAACUCCCUGGAAAGAGGCGCAUCUGUGAAAGAUGUAGAGAAGUGGCUUAGCACGAAUACGCAAGGACCCCAGAUAGAACGCACCCAACUCCGAGCGGCUCUGGAUAAAGAGGUUGUGAAUGGAAACCUUAAAAAGUUACCCCAGGGGACCUAUAUCAGUAGCGAAAGUAACCCGGAAAAGAAAAUAACCGAAAAACCGACCACCUCUGUUUCAAGUCCGGGUAAACGAGGACGCCCUCCCUCAAAACGCAAGAAGUUCAAGAAAACUCAUGGACCCGACUUUGAAACACUGUCGUUCGGGAAGCGUUCAAUGGACGACGCUUCCUGCGAUUAUUGUCUUCAGACAGAACCCAUCGUUCGCAGAGGUUUCAAAGAGGGAAUACUGGUGUGCCAGGACUGCAACGCGAAGGCCCACCCCUCGUGUAUGGGAUACAAUGCCAUCUUAGCCAGACGCACCCUGGAGUCUCCAUGGCAAUGCAUCGACUGCAAGACGUGCACCGUCUGUCAAGACUCCGGUGACCCUGUAAGUUGCCCACUGCAUGUGAGAACGCAUUGAUUCAUUUUGGUCGCUGAUAUCAUUACUGAAGAGUGAAGAAGACAAAAAAAAUCAGUUGAUGACUUCAAGUGUUGGUAUGAUUGUUGAUUUGUAGGACACGAUGCUGUUUUGUGACGCCUGUGAUAAGGGGUAUCAUAUGACCUGCCAUGAACCGGCCAUAGAAGACAAACCGCAAGGUAAAUUCAGAAGUAACCGGUUAUGUAAUGAUUAGAACCGCCCCUUGUGUUACGGACAAUUUGCAAAAAUCCAGUUUUACCUUACCGAGAUAAAAGUCAUGACGAAGACUAAGCCGAUGCCUUUAUUGCAGGGAAAUGGGAGUGUCAGACCUGUCAAGACACCGAACCCGUGGAUGCCUCUAUGGAGAUUGAUGACGUCAAUGAUACAGCAGACGAGAGCCGAGAUGGAAACAACACCUCUUGCUUACCAACACCUUACGACUCGGCAGCUUCGUCAGAAGAUGACAACAACAGAAUUGAAGCUAAGAGAAAGUCCGAAGAAAGGUCCCCUCCAGAACAGAAGAAAUCCAGUUGCCCGGAUGCUUCUAGAUGGGGAGUGGAGGACGUUGUGAAAUAUUUCUCCAGUCUUGGCUACAAGGACCAAGCAGACGCCCUCCAAGAUCAGGAAAUUGAUGGACAAUCCUUACUUUUGAUGAAAAGAAGCGAUGUUUUGACAGGACUGUCAAUCAGACUUGGUCCCGCUCUGAAAAUGUAUCAGCAUGUGAUGAAAUUACAACUAGGAGGGAUGGACACUGCAAACUGAUUGAAGAAAAUGAUCUUGUGCCGCCAUCUGGCGGAAAUAUUGGACUACAUGUGUAUACAUUAUUUUAAUUUUAAAGAUUUUCUUGUAAAGAUGAAUAAUUGCAAUUUAGUGAGGGAGUCAGGAAACGGUUUUAUCAAUCCACCAUAUUGUGUUAAAAUAGUUACUUAAUAUUUUUUGUAUAUAUAAAUGACCUUUAAUCAUACUUUGACAUUCAUAUGUAGCAUCUCAGGACAUGUAUAAUAGUCACCAUAUAUUCAUCAGUUUGGAAAUCCCCGUCGAUUUUAAGCUUUAGCAUACUUAUUCUAUGCAGCUGUGUAAUUGUUAAAAUUGUUGGAUGAAAUCCGCGAUGUGUUGAUUUAAAUCAAGACUACAAUGCAAAUGUAUAUCAUAGCAGCGUGACUGCAAUGCAAAUGAUGAUUUAUCAUGAAUGGUAUAAAUUUUUUGCAUCUUGUAUAAGAGUAUUCAUGUUUUGUUCAUGUACAUAAUCAAUAAAAUAGCUUUAACAGCUUGGAUUCA
rnacentral:misc_RNA from 1 species